rnacentral:rRNA from 1 species
AAUAGAUACCCCGGUAGUCCACGCCGUAAACGAUGGAUACUAGCUAUUGGAGGUAUCGACCCCUUCAGUAGCGAAGCUAACGCGUUAAGUAUCCCGCCUGUGGAGUACGGUCGCAAGACUAAAACCAUAAAGGAAUUGACGGGGACCCGCACAAGCGGUGGAUCAUGUUCUUUAAUUCGAUGCUAAACCGAAGAACCUUACCAGGGCUUGACAUCCCGAGAAUUUCUCCGAAAGGAGAGAGUGCUUUUAGAACUCGGUGACAGAUGUUGCAUGGCCGUCGUCAGCUCGUGUCGUGAGAUGUUUGGUUAAGUCCAUCAACGAGCGCAACCCCGUUGUGAAUAGUUGUAUUUUUUACUAUUCAGACUGCCCCGGGUCAACCGGGGGUAGGAAGGAGGGGUAUGAUGUCAGGUCAGUAUUACUCUUACGUCCUGGGCUAGAAACGUGAUACAAUGGCAGGUACAAUGCGCAGCGAAGCCGCGAGGUGAAGCAAAUCGCACCAAAGCCUGUCCCAGUUCGGAUUGGAGGCUGAAACUCGCCUCCAUGAAGUCGG